CGAGCCUCGUGCUCUUCUCGAAUUUUCUUCCUUCUCAAUUUUCAUCUCGUGAGUGUAGCAACAUGAAUUAUAGCUUGUCAAGCAAUACAUUUUCUCAGCGUUGAGAAGAUUCUGCUCCAUUUUUUCUGAUUAUGGAUUCUGUUCAGAAGGAAGCCGAAUUUUAAGUCAUCGUUCUAGGAUAGAUUCAGCUCCAUUUUCUCUGGUGGUAGAUCUCCAUGGAUGCUAUUGAGAAGGUACUUCUCAAAGUCCACGAGGACAAGGACAUCUUUCCACCGAAUGCCACCUGGUUUAUAACAAAAGCAUGAAAAACAAACAGGAAUUUCUCAAUGCAGAAAGGACUGAAGCUGUCAAAGGUGUGCUUUUUUUCUGCACAAACAAGUUUCCAUUGAAUGAUAGAAUAAAGAGAUACUGACUUCCCCGGAGCCUCCAAACUUGAGUAGUCAGGUGUACUUAUUGGAGCUGACCAGCCUUCACAUGCUGGGUUUGAGAAUGCCUGGACUCUGCCCGUCAAUUCUCUCCUUCUGGGGAAUAUGUUUGAAGCUGAGAUUUCCAUUAAAUUAUGGGCCUUUUCCUACUGAAUUUGAUAACCUUGGAUAAAAUGAGCCUAGAUCAGCAUUUCUCAAAUAUAUUGCAUAUUAUAUAAUUCAUAAAGGAGGUUGAAAAUGCCUUUUGUCUAGGUGAUACCUCAAGUCAAAUUAUUUUGAGUCAGACAGGCACUGUGGUUCACACCUGUAAUGUCAGCACUUUGACAGGCCAAGGCAGGAAGAACAUCUGAGCUCAGGAGUUUAAGACCAGCCUGGGCAACAUAGUGAGACCCCGUCUCUGCUAAAAAAGAAAAAAAAAGAAAAGAAGAAAAGCCAGGUGGCAUGCACCUGUAGUCCCAGCUACUCAAGAGCCUGAGGUGGGAGGUCGAGGCUGCGAUGAGACCUGUCAUGCCACUGCACUCCAGCCUGGGCAACAGAGCAAGACUCUCUCUCUCUCUCUCUCUCAAAAAAAAUCUGUAUCUCUGACAGUAGAAUUUUAUUUCAAUUGUUUUUAAACCAUCUACUGAGGAUUCCAUUUUGGGGGAUGUAUUGGAAACCAAUGUUUAAAGUAUGAAUAUUCUGACACUUUAGCAGGCAUUGGGAUCCGUGGAAGGCUUGUUAAAUCCAAAUAGAUUGGUCCUACUCCAUCCGCAGAGUUGCUGACGAGGUGCGUCCAGGAAUCUCUUGCCCCAAGUUUCAUUCCAAGUAUUUAAAUUGGAAUUGAGCAUCCUGUCAUGCCAGGGAUGAGAAUGCCUGGGUUACAUCAGUUAGCCCUCUCCUCUUGAGGAAUGGCAUAUUACCCAUUUUAGACUGUGUCCACAUGGCACACCAUUUAUUCAUGGGUACCUCAAUGCUACCACAGGUUUGAUUAUUAUUUUAGAGGAUGUCAACACAACUUGGAAAGGCCUUUGUACUGAUGCUUACAGUACAUUACAGUUUAAGAACACAGAUGAAAAAUCACCAAGUAAAAAAGGAGCAUAGGGAGGAAUCCAGGAGAAACCAGGCUCAAGCUUCCAGCCACCCUCUUCCAGUGGAGUCAAGUGCACUGCACUUAAUUCUCCCAGCCAGGUGUGCGGCCACCUGUGCCAAGUGUUCCCAACCAGCUGCACUUCAAGGGAAGUUAUUGAAUAUGUCCUAUCCAACUAAAACAAGGAAAUGAUGAAAAAAAUAAAAUCACUUUCCAGAGGCCUCAGGGCUAACUGGAGACAGAGCUCAGACUGCAACUGAGAAAAGUUGGACUCCAAAACCUGUACUCUGAGCUUUACUGCAUGAGAAAGUUAUUGAAAUGUGCCUUGUGACAUUCAGAAUAAGUGACUUUUCAGAGGUCUCAGAGUCAGUAAGAGACAGAACUCAGAUUGUAACCAAGAAGAGCUGAACUCCAAACUUCUGUGUCCGGAAUUGGUGGGUUCUUGGUCUCACUGACUUCAAGAAUGAAGCGGCAGACCCUCGCGCAUACCUGCCAUGCAAGAAAUGUGAAAAGUUCUUCGGAGAGAAGGAAAAUUAUAUAGGUCAGAAACUGAGACCUACAUAAGGAAAGAAGAGCAUUGGAUGAAGAAGAAAUAAAUAAAGAUGCAAUGGAUUAAGACUCUUGACUAGAAUAAUCUGAAGCAUUCUGCGUGAAUUUGUGACCAAAGAAACCAAAAAUCAGGCUACCUUUGACAAUGUCAAAUUACAGUGAACUGUGGAGUCGAUUAUACCUCUCAUAUUUCUUUAUUAUGUUAAAUGCUUAAUUAUUUGCUUGAUUCUGUCUUUGUCAUAGUCCUUUAUUACAAUGACGUCUUAUUUAAGUAAAAGAAUUCCAAAUACAUAGAAAACAAAAGCAUUUGUUUUAUUUCAAAAUAAUGAAGAAACAUAAUAGGUUAUACAACUUUUCAAGAGACCAUUAUGCUGUUAAAUCAUUUAUAUAUCUUCUCUUUAUUUGGACUCAGAAAAUAUGGACAUUAUAAUGCAAAAAGUUACUGAAAAAUCAAUGUCAGCAUCAUCUGAACUCUUUUCCCCUAAUCUAAUCUAGGCAUUUGGAUUACCCAUUUCUAAGCACAUCAGUGGUUUUUGAAUGUCAGUAGCACCCUGCUUAAUCAAUAAGCCUUUAUUUGGCUCAAUGAACUGCUGAUACGUACUUUUACAUAUUCAAAAUCUGUCCCUCAGUAUGGAUACUAACUAGAUCUUUUUUGAAUGAGAAGGUCAGGUCAGGCUCCCCCUUGGCAAUGAUACCAGCUCCCUCAGAUUCUCAUUAAUGGAACCAUGUGCUCACUGAACAAAGAAUGCUUACAGAAAAAAAAAAGAAUAUUGACGUCAGUGUAUAUUAUAUUCCUUAAAAAUAUUUAUAAACGAGCAUUCGUUAUAGAAGCAAGGAACAUGACAGCUUAUUGAUUAUGCAAAUAUGUUCCUUGUACGCUUUUAAAAUAAAUCAAUUAGUGCAAGAGUUGGCAAAGUCUUCCUUAAAGGGCAAGAUUAUUAAAAUAUUAGGCUUUGCUGGCCAUUUGGUCUGUCACAACUAAUUAACUCUGCUGUCGUAAUGGGAAAACAGCCACAGACAAUAUGUGAAAUAAUGGAUGUGGCUGUAUUUCAAUAAAACUUUGUUUAGAGAAACAGGUGGUGGGACAGUGUGUUGAUCCCUGAACUAAUGGGAUAAAAUAUAACUUAAAUAUAAUAUGCAUGUAUGUACAUAUGUUUCUGUUUACAAAAUAGAAUUGAGUGUCUCUUUCAGCUAAUUGAGCACCAUAAUGUAAACCUACAAGAGGUACGAGAGAAUUUCGUAUAUGUAUUUGAAGUCUUGACACUGCUAAAUCUUUUGUUUGUAAUUGGCAUGCCAUGUUGGAAGACAUAAUAGAGAAACUGUCUAUCCAUGCGUCCUUUACUUAAGAAAACUAAACUCUUCUCUGAAGUUAUGUGGUAUAGAUUUUUCCUAAAGGAAGCCAACCAGUUGAAAGAUCAAGCUAUGCAUUAACUCAUCACACUUUAAAUAAGUAAAUAAAUAAAUAACUCACCUAGUUCAUUGUUUGGAUGGUUUAUUGGAUGUGAGAUACUUCAUACUGUCCUGACACAGAGUUUAUUACCUAUGUAAGAGAAGGCACAUAUGGUUAGGUUUCAAGAGAUAUUCUAAUUGUUUCCUGUGGUGAUGUUUGAACUCUACAGUCAAAUUCAGAUGCAUUUAAUUUGGUAAGGUAGACAAUUGGUUAAAUGUUUGGUGUCAAAGUAAGAAAUACAUAGUGAAUUGAUGGAGAGGAAUGUUCUUAAAGUGGUCUAUACAGAUUGACCCUAAAAUCAACCUCACCUUUAUAUCAACCUCGUCUUUGAAAAGAUUGCAGCCCCAAGGACUUUGAUUAUUUUUCUUCAUGACCUCUCUGGGUACCUGAUAAUAGGAAUAGACACACGAAAAAAAACCUGAUAAUGUUACUCUGGUGUAAUCACAACUACUUCUGCUCUAUUAAAACUACCAUGCGAUAUGACCACUUUUACAGUCAUUUGUUAACUUUCUCUUUUAUCAUCAAAGUUGUACUGCACAUACUCAAAACUGACAGCUACAAUAGAGUGGCCCAUAUAUUCUCUGAGAUCAAGACAGAAACAUUACUCAUCAAAUUCUAAUCUAGUGUCACAUAGGAGAAAUACAACUAGCCAGUGAGACUCUCACUGCUAUCUGGCUCACAGAAACAGAUAGAGCAACUUCUCAUCUAUUAUUGAAGCAUUGCAGAAAUUGUGGUGCAGUGUAUGUGCCUACACUAUAAAGUAGCUAGGCUUGCACUUUUUAUGUGUGUUUGGCCAUAUAAUUCAUCUGGGCCUAGUAUCAACUCAGGACAUGGAUAUACUUUUUAAAGUAAUUGAGUAAUGUAUAUCUUUAAAAGCAAUCUCGUUAGAGCUUUAGGACAUUUCUAACAAAGCAAUGAAAUGUAGAGAUCUUAAUACAUUUCUAUGACUAUGAAUGUAAAUAAUAUAUGUUAUUUAAUAUUUUUCACAUGAAAAGAAAAUACUAACCCAGAAUGAAAAUGUAUCAAUAAUCCUGAGUAAAUUAAUCUAACAACAAUGAAUGUUUUGUGGUGCAUAUUUGGCAAAGCCUUCAAAUUUGUCAGACCUUUACAAAUCAUUUUCUUAUGUAGAGUCAUUGCUGUGUUUUGUAAUAAAUUUUGAAAACUGGCUUUAUGGAAUAAAAUAAAAAGCAAAUUUAUUAACUUUUUUGUAAAAGCUUUUCAAUGGUUUCACUAACUAUUUAAAAACAAAAAUAAAUAACCUUUGAGAUUGCUAUAUCAUUGAGAUUAUUUUAAAAGUCUCUUGAAAGUACUUAUACCUUAUUUGGUAUUAUAAAGAGGUUUCUAUAAAAAGUUACUUGUAUUUUGUGUCCCAAAUAAUUCAACAACAUAUUUAUUCAUUCUGCAAACAAACGAUAGCUGUUCCCUAAAGCAAUAUUUAUUAGAAAACUUAGGAAACCUGAGCAAAAUAUUGACUGAAGACAAACACAUUUAUAAUCAAUUAAAGAUAAAAAAGUUAACUUUUUACAAGAUGGACUAAAGAUUUAAAUGUAAGACCUCAAACUAUAAAAAUCUGAGAAGAAAACUGAGUAAAUACCCUUCUCGGUGUGAGCUUUGGCAAAAAAAAAAAAAAAAAAAAUUAUGGCUAAGAACCCAAAAGCAAUUGAAACAAAACCAAAAAUUGACAAGGGAGCCUAAUUCAACUAAAGAGCUUCAGCAUAGCAAAAAGAAUUAUGAACAGAAUAAACAGGCAGCCUACAGAAUGGGAGAAAAUGUUUCCAAGCUAUACAUCCAACAAAGGUCUAAUAGAGCCUAGAAGGAACUUAACAAGCAAAAAACAAUCCAAUUAAAAUGUGGUCAAAGGACAUGAACAGACACUUCUCAAAAUAAGACAUGCAGGUGGCCAACAAACAUGAAAAAAUGCUCAUGAACACUAAUCAUCAGAGAAAUACAAAUUAAAACCAAAAUAGAAUACCAUCUCACACCGGUCAGAAUGGCUAUUACCAAAAAGUCAAAAAAUAACAGAUGCUGGCAAAACUGCAGAGAAAAGGGAAUGCUUACACACUGUUUGUGGGAAUGCAAAUUGGUUCAACCACUGUGGAAAGCAGUUUGGAGAUUCCUCAAAGAUUUGAAAACAGACCUACCACUCGACACAGCAAUCCCAUUACUGGAUAUAUACUCAAAGGAAAAUACAUCUCUCAACCAAAAACAAACAUUCACUCAUAUGUCUUUGUCAGUGCUAUUCACAAUAGCAAAGACGCAGAAACAAUAUAGGGACCCAACAAUGGUGGACUGGAUUUUAAAAAUGUAGUACAUAUACACCAUGAAAUACUGUGUAGCCAUACAAAGAAUGAAAUAAUCUAUUUUGCAGCAACAUGGAGGCAACUGGAGGCCAUUAUCUUAAGAAAAUUAACUCAGGAACAGAAAAUUAAAUGCUAUAUGUUCUGAUAUAUAAAUGGAAGGUAAACAUUGAGUACAUGUGGACUUAAAGAUGGGAGCAAUAGAAACUAAGGACUACUAGAUAGGAGAAGGAGGGAGGUGAAUGGGCUGAAAAACAACCUAUUGGGUACUGUCUGGGUGGGAUCAUGUGUACCCCAAACUUCAGCAUCACACAGUAUACACAUAUACACACAUAUAUACACACAUAUGUAUAUACACAUAUAUGUAAUAUAUCAAUACACAUAUAUGUAAAUGUAUGUGUAUAUAUGUAAAUAUGUAAAUAUAUGUAUAUAUGUGUGUGUAAAUAUAUGUAUACAUGUAUAUGUGUGUAAAUAUAUGUAUGUAUACAUAUAUGUAUAUGUGUGAAUAUGUAUGUGUAUAUGUAAAUAUAUGUAUAUAUACAUAUGUAUACAUGUAAAUGUAUGUGUGUACGUGCAUAUGUAAACACACAUAUGCAUAUAUGUAAAUAUAUGCAUAUGUAAAUACAUAAAUGCAUAUUUAUGUAAAUACAUGUAAAUAUGCAAACACACAGAUGCAUGUUUAUGUAAAUAUAUGUAAAUACAUAAUGUGCAAAGCGCAUGUAUAUGUAAAUAUAUGUAAAUAUGCAUAUAUGUAAAUGUGCAUGUAUACACAUGUAUGCAUGUAAAUGUGUAUGGCUAUAAACAUACGCAUAUAUGUAAAUAUAUACGUAUAUGUAAAUAUAUGUAAAUAUAUUUACAUAUAUACAUAUUCACGUUAUGCAUAUAUGUAAAUAUAUUUACAUAUACACAUACAUAUUCACACAUAUACAUAUAUGUAUACAUACAUAUAUUUACACACAUAUACAUGUAUACAUAUAUUUACACACACAUAUACAUAUACAUUUACAUAUAUGUAAAUUGAUAUAUUACAUAUACGUAUAUGUAUAUAUUUACAUAUCUGUAUAUAGAUGUAUUUACAUAUGCAUAUAUGUAUAUAUUUACAUAUAUUUACAUGUAUACAUAUAUGCAUAUAUAUAUAAAUAUAAAUACAAACCUGUCCAUGUACCCUCUAAAUCCAAAAUAAAAGUGGGGUAAAAAGGCUUAACUUUUCACAGAUUAUCUUCAAAGUGACCACUAAUGGAUAUACUUCCACACACAGAAAAAUAAACCCAGAAAGAGGAAAUUGAAUGAAAGAAGAAAUGACGAAAGAGAAAAUGGUUAAAUCUAAACAAGUUGUGAGGCUGGCACGGUGUCUCACGCCUGUAAUCCCAUCACUUUGGGAGGCCGAGGUGGGAAGAUCUCUUGAGACCAGGAGUUUCAGUCCAGUCUGGCCAACAUGGUGACACUCUGUCUAUACUAAAAAUACAAAAAUUAGCCGAGUGUGGUGGUGUGUGCCUGUAGUCCCAGUUACUUGGGAGGCUGAGGCAGGAGACUCACUUGAACCCAGGAAGUGGUGGUUACAGUGAGCCAAGAUUGCACCACUGCGCUCCAGCCUGGGCGACAGAGUGAGACUCUGUCCCAAAAAUAAAUAAAUAAAUAAAUAAAUAAAUAAAUAAAUAAAUAAAUGUAAACAUGUGAGAUUUUAAAAUAUUGUAGUAAAGUUUGGAAUUGUUUAAAAGCAAAACUUAAUGAAAAGACUAGGAAAAAUAGAGGGAUGAAUGGUAGACGAUAUUUGAAUAAAUUCUGUCAUGUAAGGGAUGAGAAAAAUCAUGGGCGCACUCUAAAUUUGUGAAUUAAAUAUAAAAUUAAUAUGGAUGUUUAAUGUUAAGGACCUCGAUUAAAACGGAAUAAUAGAAUGCGGGAAGAAAAUUAAUAUGAAACCAAAGCAUGACAAUUUUUUAAAAUAGUAAAAUAAAUACAUAUAUUAUAAAAUGAGAAUUAUAAAUUGAUUAAAUUCAUUCAUUAGAAGACAUUAAGAAACUAGAGUCUUGAAAAUUAGAUGUGUGUGGCUUAUUAAGAGAAACCCCAAAAGCAAACUGACAGAUACAUUUGAAUCAUCAGGGUUGGAAGGCAAUAUGUAUCUGACAAACUAAACAAAUAGAAGAUAAUAAGAUAAUAUGUAAUAUUACAUAAAAUACAAUUUCACAUGCCAAGAAUCCAUAAUAAUAAAACUAAUGAUAACUAUAAUAUAAUAAGAGCCAACAUUUAUGAUAAAUACAUGGCAAUUAUAAAUUUGUACAAAGCUAAGAGCUUAUCUUCAAAAUAUAUAACAUGAAAUAGCAUUAAAAAAGUAUAAUAAAAACAAAAAAAAUUAAAAAAUGAAAUUUUAAAUGUGUUACCCUAUUUGAAGGUUUUAAGAAAGUUUUCUUAGAAUAUAAUAUAUUGUACAUAAAUAAGCAUAAAUAUAGG
rnacentral:lncRNA from 1 species